rnacentral:rRNA from 1 species
UACGUAGGGGGCAAGCGUUGUCCGGAUUUACUGGGCGUAAAGCGCGCGUAGGCGGAACUUCAAGUCCGGUCUGAAAGCCCCCGGCUCAACCGGGGAGGGUGGCUGGAAACUGGGGUUCUUGAGGGCGAGAGAGGAGAGUGGAAUUCCUGGUGUAGCGGUGAAAUGCGCAGAUAUCAGGAAGAACACCCGUGGCGAAAGCGGCUCUCUGGAACGGUACUGACGCUGAGACGCGAAAGCGUGGGGAGCGAACAGG